rnacentral:lncRNA from 1 species
CAGAAAUGUGAUGUCAUCUGGUUCUUUUCUUACUAAUAACCCAGGAAAGGGUAUUAACCAGCAGCCUUAAAAUAGGAAAGCUUCCAGUAGGACACAUCACUUAGUUAAUUCAGUUUUACCAAUACCAGAGAAGGAAAAGCACAGUACUUCAUUUUGGUUGUAACCAGUGUCUGAAACAAGGUAGAUUUUUUAUAAGAAAAAAAUGAUCACCUCUCACCAAACUUGUGUUUCCUCUAUCAUGAAAGGACCAACUGCACAGAUGUUGAUGAACUGUUUCUGUAAGUUGCUCUUUGACACUAGUAAAUUGUGCAGUGCUUGUUUUAUUGGCUUUUUAAUAUCCUGCAUUCCCCACAUUCUGUAGGAAUUUUUACUUAAUUUCUUAAUUUGAAUCAGAGCAGCUGUCACUUCAUUACUUCUUUUGAAACUGCUCUUGCUUGAGAAGAAGGAACAGCAUGGCUUACAGAAGAAAGCUGACUUUUCAGAUCAGUGGGGUUUUGAUCUCAGUGAAAUCCGAAUACUACACUCUACUUAGAUCAGAGGAGGAGAAUGUUUGAAAUUUUUGAAAAUGUGCCCUUUUUUUUCUAUGAAAAUUUUUCCAUGAUGGAAAGGAUCAAAGGUGUGUCUUUAUGUUGUAUGGCCUAAUUGCACUAGAACACUUUGGGGCCUGAGUUUUAGUGUAUAGUGAG